rnacentral:rRNA from 1 species
CGCCUCUUGUAUUCUAAAAAUAAGAGGUCCUGCCUGCCCCGUGACUCUAAGUUUAACGGCCGCGGUAUCUUGACCGUGCGAAGGUAGCGUAAUCACUUGUCUUUUAAAUAAAGACCCGUAUGAAUGGCAAGACGAGGGCUUAACUGUCUCCUUUUUCCAAUCAGUGAAAUUGAUCUCCCCGUGCAGAAGCGGGAAUUAACACAUAAGACGAGAAGACCCUGUGGAGCUUUAGGCGACGAGAGGGUCUAGUCAAAAGCCCUAUGAUAAAAAGAAAGAACUAAUAGAUACCCCCCUCCUAUGCCUUUGGUUGGGGCGACCGCGGGGACAAAAAUAACCCCCAUGUGGAAGGGAAGAUUAACUUCCUGAACCCAAGAGCUACAGCUCGAAAUGACAGAACUUCUGACCAAAAGAUCCGGCAAAGCCGAUCAACGAACCAAGUUACCCCAGGGAUAACAGCGCAAUCCCCUUCCAGAGGCCAUAUCGACAAGGGGGUUUACGACCUCGAUGUUGGAUCAGGACAUCCUAAUGGUGCAGCCGCUAUUAAGGGUUCGUUUGUUCAACGAUUAAAGUCCU